GUGAUCUUCCCACCUCCGCCUCUCGAGUAGCUGGGAUUACAGGCACAUCAGCGGUCUUUUCCUGCUUGGAGAAAGCCUGGCUGCAGCCGGAGGAAGGAAGGCCAACCCUUGGAAGUAGAGUCAACAGCAGCAAAUUCUAAGUCUCCUAAUGAGGUGGUUUGAGUCCCUGACUUUGGUGAUCUCUGAAGACAGCUGUACCCAUGGAUGUCACAGUUAUGUGAGCCAAUAAACCCAUAAUCGUCUUUAA